ACUGGGCAAAUCGUAUUUCCGUUCUGAGCUGUGCAAUUUGAUGUUUCGAGAGUAUCCACUUUCUUUUCUUCGGUUGAGUUUCCAAAACUCUAAAGAUGCCGCUCCUUUCGAACAAAAGUUUGGUUUAAAAUCACACCACCCGUCCGGCUCUAGUGCCCAUUUUAAAAAUGGUGCCUCGGUCUUCAGCGGCGAUAGUUCUUUUGCAAUUAAGAUCCGGGCGGAAACAAUGGGUAGGUGCAGCGGGGCAGAGCCGAGGUUGCUUCAGAGAGCCUCUUGCGGGUCAGGAGGAAGGGUCAGGUCGUAGUUGGGUUUUGUUCCUGCUAGCGCGGGAACACUCUGCGUGUAGGGAGCGGCACUGCCGGUUGCCGAGGCCUCGGGACCCUCCCCGGCUAGCUAGUUAGCUGAGUAGGCGGCGGAGCGGCGGCCCCUGGCCGGUCACCAUGUGGGCCUUCCCGGAGUUGCCACUGCCGCUGCUGGUGAAUUUGAUCGGCUCGCUGCUGGGAUUUGUGGCUACUGUCACCCUCAUCCCUGCCUUCCGUAGCCACUUUAUCGCCGCGCGCCUCUGUGGCCAGGACCUCAAUAAGCUCAGCCGAGAGCAGAUCCCAGAGUCCCAGGGAGUGAUCAGCGGUGCUGUUUUCCUUAUCAUCCUCUUCUGCUUCAUCCCUUUCCCCUUCCUGAGCUGCUUUGUGGAGAAGCAGUGUAAGGCAUUCCCCCACCAUGAAUUUGUGGCCCUGAUAGGUGCCCUCCUUGCCAUCUGCUGCAUGAUCUUCCUGGGCUUCGCUGAUGACGUACUCAAUCUGCGCUGGCGCCAUAAACUGCUGCUGCCCACAGCUGCCUCACUACCUCUCCUCAUGGUCUACUUCACUAACUUUGGCAAUACAACCAUUGUGGUGCCCAAGCCCUUCCGCUGGAUUCUUGGCCUGCAUUUGGACUUGGGGAUCCUGUACUAUGUCUACAUGGGACUUCUCGCAGUGUUCUGUACCAAUGCCAUCAACAUCCUAGCAGGAAUUAAUGGCCUAGAGGCUGGCCAAUCACUAGUCAUCUCUGCCUCUAUCAUUGUCUUCAACCUGGUGGAGCUGGAAGGUGAUUAUCGGGAUGAUCAUGUCUUUUCCCUCUACUUCAUGAUACCAUUCUUUUUUACCACCUUGGGAUUGCUGUAUCAUAACUGGUACCCGUCACAGGUUUUUGUGGGAGAUACCUUCUGUUACUUUGCUGGCAUGACCUUCGCCGUGGUGGGAAUCUUGGGCCACUUCAGCAAGACCAUGCUGCUCUUCUUUAUGCCACAAGUGUUCAAUUUCCUCUACUCACUGCCUCAGCUCUUUCAUAUCAUCCCCUGCCCUCGACACCGCAUACCCAGACUCAAUACGAAGACAGGCAAACUGGAGAUGAGCUAUUCCAAGUUCAAGACCAAGAGCCUCUCUUUCUUGGGCACCUUUAUUUUAAAGGUAACAAGGUAUCAAGGAGAUAGCAGAGAGCCUCCGGCUAGUGACAGUUCACCGAGGGGAGAGUGAAGAUGGUGCCUUCACUGAAUGUAACAACAUGACCCUCAUUAACUUGCUGCUUAAAGUCUUUGGGCCCACACAUGAGAGAAACCUCACACUGCUCUUGCUGCUGUUGCAGAUCCUCAGCAGCGCUGCCACCUUCUCCAUUCGUUACCAGCUUGUUCGACUCUUCUAUGAUGUCUGAGUUUUCCUGAUGAUCGCCCUUAACCACAGUCUCUAUUGGACCUCACCCAGGACCAGCCUUUGUCUGGUCCAAGACUGCCUUCUGGUCCAGGCCUCUCUGACUGUUCACUUUUCAGAUUUUGUCUUCAGCUUCUCCCAUCAUCUGUGAUUAUUGACAUCCUGAAUGGACCUUAUUGGAUUUAGUCCAUUAGUUGGACUUUGCCUAUGGCUCUCUUCAGCUUCUACUCUUUCCCUUUCUGUCCCGUCCACAAUCUCAUAAGGUGGGGAUGUAGCAUCUUUUAUACAGCAAUUCACAGCUCAACUUUCAGAGCCCUAACUCUAAAAGAAUCCGCUGGACCUUGAGAGAGAACCUGGACUAGGGGCUAGAGUUAGGGCAACAUACUCCAAGGUAACCUCAGAUCUGACUAUAAAAUUAAGUGUUCUGAUUAGAAGAGCAGAGGCAGGGCCAUGUGCUCAAAAUGGUGACAAUAAAGGAUUACCUUUUACUUGC